ACAAUUUAUGGAAAGAACAAGGAAACUAGGUUUGAUUUCAUGGUAUUCCAAGACAUCGGUCCUUUGUACGUAAGUUCGGAGAAGACAAACCAGAUUCAAAUUUGAGGAGGGUGAUGUUUAAUUUACAAUGAACAAAUGGUAUUACCUUUAUUAUCUUCCCAUGGGAAAGGUUUUUGCAAAAUUGUACAUACAUGAAGGUAGACAGCAACCUUUUUCCACUGGCAGGUUGGACGAUAUCAAGAGGCUACAACCUUCCUUAUGAUCAGUUGCAAUUAUCAACAGUCAAAUGGCGACGUAAGUCGCUAUGGGAAAGUCAAUGGCAAAAUCCAUCCACGAGCCACAGGCAACAGUAAGCAACAUAUAAAGAAGGAUGUUUAUCUGGAAAAGUCACAUUCACGUGUACACAUGUUUUUUCACGACAUAUUUAUUCAAAUAUUUUUCAUACAAAAACAUACGGUCAAGUCACGUAUAAGUUACUGUGCGAUCGGACUGUUGUAACGGGCGCUAGGAAGCCUUCGUUCACUUACACCAGGGGUCACCAAACUUUUUUCACAGCGGGCCAGAUAACAGAGAAUGACGAGCGCGGGCCGCAUAA